UUCAUUUCUAGAUCACCCCUCGAUCAAAUAUUCGCAUUUUGUGUAAUACAAACGACAAUUUCCGACCGAACGCGCGCACCUCUAUGAUCCAAUUUCGACGGACGUUAAACGAAAACGCGUAGCUCGCAAUGAAUAAUAUGCUCAAUACUGUGUGAUUCUUUCUCGUUGUUAACCGGAGAAUUUUCACUCGAUAUACGAACACGAAAUCCGUUCAAGAUUUACACGUAAUAAUUGAAACGCGCAGUUAACGAGUAUAGUGGAUCCGCCACGAUUUUCAAACGUCGAACAGUAAUUUCAGUCGUU